rnacentral:rRNA from 1 species
UACGGAGGGUCCAAGCGUUAUCCGGAUUUAUUGGGUUUAAAGGGUGCGUAGGCGGCACAGUAAGUUAGAGGUGAAAUCUCGCGGCUCAACCGCGAAACUGCCUCUGAUACUGCUGAGCUAGAGAUUAGAUGCUGUGGGCGGAAUGUGUAGUGUAGCGGUGAAAUGCUUAGAGAUUACACAGAACACCGAUUGCGAAGGCUGCUCACAAAUCUACUUCUGACGUUGAGGCACGAAAGCGUGGGUAGCAAACAGGA